rnacentral:rRNA from 1 species
CUACGGGGCGCUCCAGUGAGGAAUAUUGCACAAUGGGGGGAACCCUGAUGCAGCAACGCCGCGUGGAGGAUGACGCAUUUCGGUGUGUAAACUCCUUUUAUAUGUCAAGAAAAUGACGGUAGCAUAUGAAUAAGCACCGGCUAACUCCGUGCCAGCAGCCGCGGUAAUACGGAGGGUGCAAGCGUUACUCGGAAUCACUGGGCGUAAAGGACGCGUAGGCGGGUUGGAAAGUCAGGUGUGAAAUCCUACAGCUUAACUGUAGAACUGCACUUGAAACUUCUAAUCUAGAGUAUGGGAGGGGGAGAUGGAAUUAGUGGUGUAGGGGUAAAAUCCGUAGAUAUCACUAGGAAUACCUAAAGCGAAGGCGACCUCCUGGAACAUUACUGACGCUAAGGCGUGAAAGCGUGAGGAGCAAACAGGAUUAGAUACCCCAGUAGUC